UCCCUCCAGAAACUGCAUGCUUGGUCAAAGAGGAAAAUCAUCCUGAAUAAAGGAGGACUGUUCUUCAAUCAAGGGUGUAUGAGUAUCUGGGCUUCCCUGCUAGAAUCUCCAAAAGAUACCACUGUCAAUUCUUAAAUAAUAUUUUAGU
rnacentral:sRNA from 1 species